rnacentral:rRNA from 1 species
CCUACGGGGGGCAGCAGUGAGGAAUAUUGGUCAAUGGGCGCGAGCCUGAACCAGCCAAGUCGCGUGAGGGAAGACGGUCCUAUGGAUUGUAAACCUCUUUUGUCGGGGAGCAAAAGACGCCACGCGUGGCGUUCCGAGAGUACCCGACGAACAAGCAUCGGCUAACUCCGUGCCAGCAGCCGCGGUAAUACGGAGGAUGCGAGCGUUAUCCGGAUUUAUUGGGUUUAAAGGGUGCGCAGGCGGACGAUCAAGUCAGCGGUAAAAUUGAGAGGCUCAACCUCUUCGAGCCGUUGAAACUGGUUGGCUUGAGUGAGCGAGCAGUAGGCGGAAUGCGUGGUGUAGCGGUGAAAUGCAUAGAGAUCACGCAGAACUCCGAUUGCGAAGGCAGCAUACCGGGGCUCAACUGACGCUCAUGCACGAAAGUGUGGGUAUCGAACAGGAUUAGAUACCCGGGUAGUC